GACGAACGCUGGCGGCGUGCUUAACACAUGCAAGUCGAACGGAAAGGCCCUGCUUUUGUGGGGUGCUCGAGUGGCGAACGGGUGAGUAACACGUGAGUAACCUGCCCUUGACUUUGGGAUAACUUCAGGAAACUGGGGCUAAUACCGGAUAGGAGCUCCUGCUGCAUGGUGGGGGUUGGAAAGUUUCGGCGGUUGGGGAUGGACUCGCGGCUCAUCAGCUUGUUGGUGGGGUAGUGGCUUACCAAGGCUUUGACGGGUAGCCGGCCUGAGAGGGUGACCGGCCACAGUGGGACUGAGAUACGGCCCAGACUCCUACGGGAGGCAGCAGUGGGGAAUAUUGCACAAUGGGCGGAAGCCUGAUGCAGCAACGCCGCGUGCGGGAUGACGGCCUUCGGGUUGUAAACCGCUUUCGCCUGUGACGAAGCGUGAGUGACGGUAAUGGGUAAAGAAGCACCGGCUAACUACGU
rnacentral:rRNA from 1 species